CGACAGACUACAGGAUUCCCCUAGUAACUGCGAGUGAAGCGGGAAGAGCUCAAAUUUAAAAUCUGGCAGUCUCUGGCUGUCCGAGUUGUAAUUUAGAGAAGUGUUGCCCGCGCUGGACCGUAUACAAGUCCUCUGGAAUGAGGCGUCAUAGAGGGUGAGAAUCCCGUCUUUGAUACGGACUACCAGUGCUUUGUGGUGCGCUCUCGAAGAGUCGAGUUGUUUGGGAAUGCAGCUCAAAAUGGGUGGUAAAUUCCAUCUAAAGCUAAAUAUAGGCGAGAGACCGAUAGCGAACAAGUACCGUGAGGGAAAGAUGAAAAGAACUUUGGAAAGAGAGUUAAACAGUACGUGAAAUUGCUGAAAGGGAAACGCUUGAAGUCAGUCGCGUCGUUCAAGAAUCAACCUUGCUUUUGCUUGGUGUACUUUUUGUUCGACGGGUCAGCAUCAGUUUUGACCAUUGGAUAAGGGCCAAGGAAAUGUGGCAUCUUCGGAUGUGUUAUAGUCUUUGGUCGUAUACAGUGGUUGGGACUGAGGAACUCAGCACGCCGCAAGGACGGGUCUUUGACUACGUUACGUGCUUAGGAUGCUGGCAUAAUGGCUUUAAUCGACCCGUCUUGAAACACGGACCAAGGAGUCUAACAUGCCUGCGAGUGUUUGGGGUGGAAAACCCGAGCGCGCAAUGAAAGUGAAAGUUGAGAUCUCUGUCAUGAGAGCAUCGACGCCCAUACCUGAUGUUUACUGACGGAUAUGCGGUAGAGCAUGUAUGUUGGGACCCGAAAGAUGGUGAACUAUGCCUGAAUAGGGUGAAGCCAGAGGAACUCUGGUGGAGGCUCGUAGCGAUUCUGACGUGCAAAUCGAUCGUCGAUUUGGGUAUAGGGGCGAAAGACUAUCGACCAUUUUUGCUACUAUGGUGGUAGAGGCUACUGAAAGGUUUAGCUAGUGAGAGUGAGUCUGCGACAUGUCAAAUGCGGGACAUCUAUAGAGCUUUGCUACGCUGCUACAUGAACAUGUAGAUUGCACAGUAUGACUCGGAUGUAAACGCAGAAUGACAUCCGCAGCAGUCUGUAAUGGAUGCAUUCAGACUAGAAUGCAUGACCUAAGUAGCUUAGAAUAUCGUCGGUGCAAGCACUGCGGGAGACUGAGUUGUUACUCACUG
rnacentral:rRNA from 1 species